ACAUGCCUACAACAUGGCGUUAAUGCACUAAAUCCCAUUAGAACUCCACAGUUAAGCGUGCUUGGGCUAGAGUAGUAUUGGGAUGGGUGAUUGCCCGGGAAGUCCUAGUAUUUUACAUGCA
rnacentral:rRNA from 1 species